rnacentral:rRNA from 1 species
GCACUUUGGAAAGAGAGUUAAAAAGUACGUGAAAUUGUUGAAAGGGAAGCGCUUGCAACCAGACUUGCUCGCGGGCGAUCAGCCUCCCUUCGCGGGGGGUGCACUCGCCCGCGAUCAGGCCAGCAUCGGUUUUGACGGGCGGAUAAAGGCCCCGGGAAUGUAGCUCCCCUCGGGGAGUGUUAUAGCCUGGGGUACCAUGCGCCCAGUCGGGACCGAGGACCGCGCUUCGGCUAGGAUGCUGGCGUAAUGGUUGUAAGCGACCCGUCUUGAAACACGGACCAAGGAGUCUAACAUCUAUGCGAGUGUUUGGGUGAUAAAACCCAUGCGCGGAAUGAAAGUGAACGGAGGUGGGAGCCCUUUUCGGGGGGCGCACCAUCGACCGAUCCAGAUGUCUUCGGAUGGAUUUGAGUAGGAGCAUAGCUGUUGGGACCCGAAAGAUGGUGAACUAUGCCUGGAUAGGGUGAAGCCAGAGGAAACUCUGGUGGAGGCUCGCAGCGGUUCUGACGUGCAAAUCGAUCGUCAAAUCUGGGUAUAGGGGCGAAAGGCAAGCUACCCAAUUAUUGAAUUCUUAUGGCCAUUAUGCUAACAUUAUUUACAGACUAAUCGAACCAUCUAGUAAAUCGCUACUAGAAAUACUGAUCGAUAAGGGGCCAACGCCUCAGUAGUCCCCCCGUAUGGGGGGGCCACAUCGCCGGUCUUCGGGGACACCUUGUUAUAGGGUUACCCGCACUGAGCUUCGGCUCAGUCACAGGSUAAGUGGUGGUGGCCACGGGGAGACCGUGGUUAGGAUAUAGUCGGCGGGACCUCUGGCGGGGUACC